GAUGAAGAACGCAGCGAAAUGCGAUAAGUGAUGUGAAUUGCAGAAUUCAGUGAAUCAUCGAAUCUUUGAACGCACCUUGCGCUCCUUGGUAUUCCGAGGAGCAUGCCUGUUUGAUUGUCAUGAAAUUCUCAACCUUUUCAGCUUUCUUUGUUGAUCAGGCUUGGAUGUGGGAGUAUGCGGGCUUCUCAGAAGUCGGCUCUCCUGAAAUGCAUUAGCGGGACCUUUGUUGCCUGGCUUUGGUGUGAUAAUUAUCUACGCCAUUGUAGUCAAGCAGCUUAAAAUGAGGUUUCAGCUUCUAACCGUCUCCCCUGAGACAACUUUUUGACAAUUUGACCUCAAAUCAGGUAGGACUACCCGCUGAACUUAAGCAUAUCAAUAAGCGGAGGA
rnacentral:misc_RNA from 1 species